GUACCGGACUUUAGAUAAGGUUAGGUUACUUUGAGAUAUCUGUGAGGAAGUCAGGUGAGAAUCCUGCACAAUACCCGUUGCUGUAUUGGAGGAGCGGUAUUCCAUAUUGCCACUGCGGAAUAAGAUUCUGUGGGAAGGCGGAAUAUUUGCAUCGAUCCCUAAGUCAGAAUAUUCACUUUCAAAUGAGUCCGUAG
rnacentral:ncRNA from 2 species